UGGCUCAGCAGACUGUGACCCUUGUCUCUAGAGAGAGAAGGGUUAAGUGGAGGGUCAUAGUGAGCCUCUGAGGCUAGCGAAAUCCGCCAGGAAACGCAGAACCCACGGAGACAAGGACAGAGCUUUGUCACAGUGGACAUUUCACCCUGGGAUGAGUCUGGGCAGCAGAGCUUGCCCCUCCUAGAAAAGAGAGAGGAGUCCCUUUCUAAUAAUUGUCUAACAGCUUACAUUUAAGGGUUGUUAGGCGACAGUGCCAGAGACACACACACAAGGAUGCGGGCUGGCUGGGAGAAUGUAAAUUGAUUGUUUUGUUCCUGUAACAAAUUAGAUAAGAUGAAAGCCUGUUUCUCCCUAAACCGAGACUAAAUAUGCAGGUUCCUGAAGGGAGGAGCUACAAGUACCUAAAACCCAGUCAGACCUGCAGAGUGAUAAGUGACUAACACGGCUGCUACUCUGAAACCUGUCUGAGUUGAGUUGCCUGCAAGACACCAGCGUGGAUGUUCCAGAUGCAAACAUUUCUGAUCUCCCUGUGUAAGGUACUGGAAUGGCAAUGGACAAUACUACCUGGAGACAACAUGUACUAGGAAGGGGCCACUGAAAGCUCUAAGGCAUGUUGACAGAGGAAGAAAUUCUAAAGGAACUGUCAGAAAGGUGAGGUAAGAGAAGCGAGUGCUGUGAGAGCUGAACAGCAUUUAGUGCUCUUAAAAGGUGCUGGUCUAAGCAGCUGAAGUGCUAGCUGUUGACAGAAAUGGGGCACCAUGGGGUCUUUGAUCUGGAGCAAGGACCUCUAGUUGAAAGUCUCAUGUCUGUUUUUUUGCUUGAUCUCAAAUACCAACAAUAGUGUGAAUUGUGAUGGUGUUGGAUACAGACACUGGUCUGACUGGCACUGCAGUCACUAACUUAUUUUACAUACCCUCCCAUGUCCACCUAUGAAAUGACUACAAGGGCAGAUUUGAACCAGUGACUGGUUCCAGCAGUCAUGGGUUAAGAGGGAAUGUCCUCUCAUGGAUCAGUAAUUGGUUAAAAGACAGGAAACAAAGGGUAGGAAUAAAUGGUUCGUUUUCAGAAUGGAGAGGUAAAUAGUGGGGUUCUCCCAAGGGUCUGUACUGGGACCAAUGCUGUUCAACAUAAUGCCUCCAACAUGAGAUUAUCUGAGUACCCAGAAGCUUCAAGGUAGUUAUUCUCACAACACCCUUAGGAGAUAGUACUUCCUUAUUAUCCCCAUUUUAGAAAUAGGAAACUGAGGCACAGAGAUUGACCUGUUCAAAGUCACACAGGAAGUCUAUGGCAGAGCAGGAAAUUAAACCCAGGUCUUCCAACUCACAGGCUUGUGCCCUAACCACUAGACCAUCCUUCCUCACAAUAAUACUGCACACUUUUGAAGUAGAGUUUUAAAAUGUGAUAAAACAGAAAAAUCACUUAAGUGACUGAAAUCUAGUAAAUCCUUUGCUUAACUCUUAACCUGUGC